AAAGAUUAAGCCAUGCAUGUCUAAGCACAUGCCUUAAUACGGUGAAGCCGCGAAUAGCUCAUUACAACAGCCACCGUUUACUAGAAAUAGUUAUCCUACUUGGAUAACUCUGGCAAUUCUAGAGCUAAUACAUGCAAUAAAGCUCCGCCCUGCGAAGGAACGAGCGCAUUUAUUAGAAUAAAAACCAAUCGGGUCUCGGCCCGUAAUCUGGUGAAUCUGGAUAACUUUGCCAAUCGCACGGUCCUAGUACCGGCGAUAUAUCUUUCAAGUGUCUGCCUUAUCAACUUUCGUUGGUAGGUUAUACGCCUACCAAGGUAGUAACGGGUAACGGAGAAUAAGGGUUCGACUCCGGAGAGGGAGCCUGAGAAACGGCUACCACAUCCAAGGAAGGCAGCAGGCGCGCAAAUUACCCACUUCCAGAACGGAGAGGUAGUGACGAAAAAUAACGAGACAGUCCUCUUCGAGGUCUGUCAUCGGAAUGGGUACAAUUUAAAUCCUUUAACGAGGAUCUAUUGGAGGGCAAGUCUGGUGCCAGCAGCCGCGGUAAUUCCAGCUCCAAUAGCGUAUAUUAAAGUUGUUGCGGUUAAAACGCUCGUAGUUGGAUCUGCGGCCUCGACGAACGGUCCCCCGAAAGGGUGGUCACUGUCUCUCCUAGCCUAAAUUCGAGUCGUCUCUAGGUGCUCUUUACCGAGUGCCUAGAGUGACUAGAACGUUUACUUUGAAAAAAUUAGAGUGCUUAAAGCAGGCGAAAUAGCCUGAAUAGGGUGCAUGGAAUAAUGGAAUAGGACCUCGGUUCUAUUUUGUUGGUUUUCGGAACCCGAGGUAAUGAUUAAGAGGAACAGGCGGGGGCAUUCGUAUUCCGGCGCUAGAGGUGAAAUUCUUGGACCGCCGGAAGACGGACGACUGCGAAAGCAUUUGCCAAGAAUG
rnacentral:rRNA from 1 species